UACUUCCUCAUCACAGACAUCUCAGACUUCAAGAGGAAGAUGCCUGACUUGCCUGGAGCUGUGGAUGAGCCCUAUGACAGACGCUUCGUCAAGUGGAUGAUCAAGAACAAGGUGGGCUGGGCCUCUGCCAGGCAGCCAUGUAUGGUUUCACAGGUUGUGUGCUGCUCAAGGGUGCCCAGGCAAGAGGCUCCUGGGCUAGAUCUUAGUCCAGCCUCUGCCGUCAACCUUGGGGCAGGGUUGUAUCCACUUCAGAGAA
rnacentral:lncRNA from 10 species